AACAACAUGUUCUCUUGUGUUUGGCUUCUCUUGCUCAGCAUGAUAUUUUUAAGGUUCACCCAUAUUGCAUGUAUCAAGAAUACAAUCCUUUUUAUUAUUGAGUAGUGUUCUAUUGUAUGUAUAUAUACCACAGUUUAUUUCUCCCUUCAUCCUUUGCUAGAUUUUGGGGUUUUUUCACAUUGCACUAUUCAGUAUAAACCUGCUCUCAACAUUCAUGUGCAAGUCUUUGAGUGGACAUAUAUUUGCGUUUCUCUUGAGUGAAUGCACCUUGUUGGGUCACGUGGCUUAACUUAAAAAAAUUUUAAUCACUGUGGUGCAUAUGUAGUGAUUAUUAAUGAUUAUCUCAUAAUUUUAUUUUCUUGAUGAUUAAUGAUGUUGAGUGUAUUCCAUUUGUAUUUUAGUUUGCAAAUGUUCAAAUUCUUCACCCGUUUUUAAUGAAGACAUAAGACUUAUUUUUGUGUUCUGAACAUAAGUUCUUUGUCACAUAAAAUGUGCUAUGAAUGUUGAGUUUUAAAUACUCCAAAUGAAUGGCUAGAGAAUUACUAUUUGUAGAAAUAUUUAUAUGUCAAAGGGAUGCUAACAAUUUACUUUAUUGCUCUAAAAUAGAAAAGUUGCCAGAAUGCUGUGGAGUUUUAGUGGAAAACAUGAUAGCUGGUGUUACUGAGUAAAUUUGAGUGUUAAAUGUCAAUGUAAGCUAACGGCCAAGAUAGGGACCACUGCAGGGUGGUUACUUGCAGCUAUGACUCAACUGGUCCUUCACUGCCAAACAUACCUGGGGUUGGAUCAUUGGCCUGACGUUUGCAAAUUGAGGAACCUUAGGGCAAAUCAGUGAACUUCUGAACUGCCUUCGUCUUCAGUUAUAUGGGGAUUUCCCCACUUUUGAGAUACUUGUAAG
rnacentral:lncRNA from 1 species